rnacentral:rRNA from 1 species
AUUGAACGCUGGCGGCAUGCUUUACACAUGCAAGUCGAACGGUAACAGGCCGCAAGGUGCUGACGAGUGGCGAACGGGUGAGUAAUGCAUCGGAACGUGCCCAGUCGUGGGGGAUAACUACUCGAAAGAGUAGCUAAUACCGCAUACGAUCUAUGGAUGAAAGCGGGGGACCGUAAGGCCUCGCGCGAUUGGAGCGGACGAUGUCAGAUUAGGUAGUUGGUGGGGUAAAGGCUCACCAAGCCAACGAUCUGUAGCUGGUCUGAGAGGACGACCAGCCACACUGGGACUGAGACACGGCCCAGACUCCUACGGGAGGCAGCAGUGGGGAAUUUUGGACAAUGGGCGCAAGCCUGAUCCAGCAAUGCCGCGUGCAGGAAGAAGGCCUUCGGGUUGUAAACUGCUUUUGUACGGAACGAAACGGCUCUGGUUAAUACCCGGGGCUAAUGACGGUACCGUAAGAAUAAGCACCGGCUAACUACGUG